UACGUAGGGAGCAAGCGUUGUCCGGAUUUAUUGGGCGUAAAGAGCUCGUAGGCGGCUUAGCAAGUCAGGUGUGAAACCUCCAGCUUAACCUGGAGACGCCACUUGAUACUGCUAUGGCUUGAGUUUGGUAGGGGAAGACGGAAUUCCUGGUGUAGGCGGUGAAAUGCGCAGAUAUCAGAGAGGAACACCGAUGGCGAAGGCAGUCUUCUGGGCCAAACUGACGCUGAGGAGCGAAAGCGUGGGGAGCGAACAG
rnacentral:rRNA from 1 species